ACCUCGGUGGUGUAGUGGUAGCACACGUCCCCGGCGUGGAUGAAAUGCGGCUUCGACUCCCGCCUGAGGUU